AGGACGAACGCUGGCGGCGUGCUUAACACAUGCAAGUCGAGCGGAAAGGCCCUUCGGGGUACUCGAGCGGCGAACGGGUGAGUAACACGUGGGCAACCUGCCCUUAGCUCUGGGAUAGCUCCGGGAAACCGGAAUUAAUACCGGAUAUGACCUAGGCCGACAUCGGCCGUGGUGGAAAGUUUUUCGGCUAGGGAUGGACUCGCGGCCUAUCAGCUAGUUGGUGGGGUAAUGGCCUACCAAGGCGACGACGGGUAGCCGGCCUGAGAGGGCGACCGGCCACACUGGGACUGAGACACGGCCCAGACUCCUACGGGAGGCAGCAGUGGGGAAUCUUGCGCAAUGGGCGAAAGCCUGACGCAGCAACGCCGCGUGAGGGAUGGAGGCCUUCGGGUUGUAAAACCUCUUUCAGCAGGGACGAUUGUGACGGUACCUGCAGAAGAACGCCCCGGCAACUACGCGCCAGCAGCCGC
rnacentral:rRNA from 1 species